CAGGAGCCACUGAGCCAGAACUGGAGGUCACUACCACUACUGCAGCUCCAACUUCAGAAAGCCUGAUACACAGGGGUCCGAGGGCAAAAUUCUUCUCUCCAAUCCAUGACGAAAGAAAUUUCCCCUGGAGCUCUUGAAAGGAGAAGAGGAUGGGUCCUGUAUGGAGACGGCAUCCUGACUGGUAUAUUCAUUUGCCUGGACUCCAUAACAAAUAAAUAUGAUUGUAAGAUAGUGACUUGAAGGUGAGAAUAAGUUGUUCUGCUCUUCUGUCUGAUGGGUGGCUGAAAAAGCACAAGUGUCUUCCUUGCAACAAACUAAAGAUAUAUAGACACUAAGACCAGAACACACCACUGAUGAUCAUCUAGUCCGACCUCCAGCAUAACACAGCCAAGAGGGCGGUGAUGUUAGUGUGAAGACUGAAAACUGAGCAAAAAGAUUUGAAAAUAUCCCAAAUGGACAAAAAUAGAAUGAAAAAGAAAAUGAGAUGAACUGCAAGGCCUCACAACUCCCAGCAGUUAACACAGAGAACCCGAAUCGGAAGAGCAAAACUUACAGGCGUGCCUCUUGGGCCAGUGGGUCCCAGCAGACCCGUCUCACCAGGAUCUCCAGGCCAGGAUCUCCUGGAUAACCGGGUUCACCACGAUCUCCUUGCCCACCCUGCCAGAAAGUGAGAGGAAAAAAAUCACUUUACUUCAUGACACGUUUACAUCUACAAAUAAACUGAUCAAGCAAUAUUACUGACGUUUCCA
rnacentral:lncRNA from 1 species